rnacentral:misc_RNA from 1 species
AAGUCGUAACAAGGUUUCCGUGGGUGAACCUGCGGAAGGAUCAUUAACACGUAUCAAAACCCCUCUGUGCAACCCUCUUACGUUAGGCUUGAUUGGAGUUGUAUUCACUCGAUCUUAAUGAUGGGAGUCCCUCUCUCGGGAGGGAUCUGGACAAUCGGGCCGCUAGGUGUCCAUCGUUAGCCCUGUACUAUUUUAACCCUUGUACUCUUUUGUACUGAACCAAUUCUUCGAGUUUCGGCUUCGGCUGAGAUACGAAAGAUCUUAGCAGCGGAUAUCUGGGUUUCC